ACACAGGAAACGGAUCUAAGGGGAGAAAUUAGCACCGAAGCAUUUGGUAUACGCGAGAACUCGGAUGCAUGGGACAUCUGCAAGAAAGAGGGAAGUACCCAGUAGUUAAAGGGACAGUGUGUUACGUUGUGAUUCGUUCUGCUGUUGCCUUGCCAUUUGCAUAAGUGCUAACACUGUUACUUCAGUUUAUCUUUGUUUAUUGAAAAGUGUUGGAACCGAUUGAGAAGAAGAAGGAGGGGCUCAAGGAUCGUGGCCUCGACGUUUACAUAUGGUUGUCCUCUGCCCCAGUCAUUCGACUAUUUCAGGACUACAGGCCAGGCCAAAAGUUGUGACGCUGACCAUAUAUCACUGCUGAAGAAAGAGCCCUGUGAUAGCAGAGUAGAUUGGUGACGUUGGGCGGCUGCUUUAUACACGUAGACGACCUGUUGACCUCUUUUCCCGCCUGGUGGUGGCAUUUCGACUGUACCAAGAAAGGAGAUUUGAAGAGGUCAGUCUCAUUCUGGCGGUACGCUGUACGACACAAACCCGUACCUCAACCUACCUACCUUUGAGGUACCAACAGUGGACGUGCUAGUCCAAAUACUGCAGCAGCAUCGGCCUGUGCCUCCAUCUGCCCCUUUCCUGCCUGAGACAAAGAGGUGUUGUAUCUUUACUGGAGUGUUAUUAUUGUUGAAGGAAAUUUGUGUGUUCUCUGCUGCCAGUCUGCAGAUCUGAGCCAAGGGCUCUGUGUCGUCAUGGGACUGUUCCACUGCCUGCUGGGAAGUCAACAGCUAAGUGUUCAUCAGAAGUCUGUCCUAGUGAGGAAGACUAGAAGUUUGCUGUGUGCCUACACGUCUUCUCCAACCACCUGAGCCUCGAAGGGCUAAAGCCCUGUGCAUGCGCCUGCCCACUUGCCCGUAAGUCAAACCUAUUCAAAGCCAAGAGCCCAGUGUACUCGCCUGUAUACCUCCCUGUAUGCCCAAAGCCAAGAGCCUAGUGUACUCACCUGUAUACUUACCUGUACGCCCAAAGCCAAGAGCCCAGUGUACUCACCUGUAUACUUACCUGUACGCCCAAAGCCAAGAGCCCUGUGUACUCACCUGUAUACUUACCUGUACGCCCAAAGCCAAGAGCCCAGUGUACUCACCUGUAUACCUCCCUGUACGCCCAAAGCCAAGAGCCCAGUGUACUCACCUGUAUACUUACCUGUACGCCCAAAGCCAAGAGACCAGUGUACUCACCUGUAUACCUCCCUGUACGCCCAAAGCCAAGAGCCCAGUGUACUCACCUGUAUACUUACUUGAACGCCCAAAGCCAAGAGCCUAGUGUACCCACCUGUAUACCUCCCUGUACACCCAAUGCCAGGAGCCCAGUGUACUCACCUGUAUACCUCCCUGUACGCCUAAAGCUCCAA